rnacentral:miRNA from 1 species
GAGCUUUACUCUGUAUCUGAC